rfam:Triticum aestivum genome assembly, contig: Triticum_aestivum_CS42_TGACv1_scaffold_329983_4BS
AUAAUACUCCCUCCGUCCAGAAUUACUUUUCAUCAAAAUGGAUGUGUCUAGAACUAAAAUACAUCUAGAUACAUCCAUUUCAAUGAUAAGUAUUUUCGGACGGAGGGAGUAGUUG